rnacentral:lncRNA from 1 species
CGCCAUGCCAGCGAGAAUGGACCGGAGGACCAUCUAUGCCUUUCUUUUAUUCUUCCACAAGUGUAAUGACGAUGGUCGAUGAGGCGAUGACCAAGUUCAACGACUCGAAUUCACAGACUCGAAAGGAGGUCCGAAUUUAUUAUUGUAUUUGAUAAAUUGCAUUUUUAUCUCUCUAUUUUAUAUGAAUUGCAUUUUUAUCUCUCUAUUUUAUAUGAAUUGCAUUUCUUCCUAUUUUAAAAUUUUGACCUUGUUGUACAGUGUACACUGCAUCUGCAGUUCUGCACCUAAUUAUAAAUUUAUAAUGAUGAGGUAUUAACUAUUAAUCAAGGUACUUUGAUAAUUCUUAACUAAAACACUUUGAUAAUUUUUGCAUCACAUCCAAAUUGAUAAAUUAUAAGCUAAUUCUAACUAAUAAUUAUCCUUUUUAGUUCAUCAAAAUCCAUACAAAUAAAUUCAUACAUUAUCGAUUUAUCAUAUUUGAAAAGUAAAAUAAAUAAAUUUACUUUAUCUUGUCCAUAAUUUUACAGGGAAAUGGCAAACAAGCUUGUCUACAAUGCGGAUCUACCUGGAAAAAAAAUCAUG